rnacentral:lncRNA from 1 species
GCUGGGGGACUUCAACGCUCACGUUGGCAGCGACAGUGAGACCUGGAGGGGCGUGAUUGGGAGGAACGGCCCCCCUGAUCGGAACCCGAGCGGUGUUUUGUUGUUGGACUUCUGUGCUCGCCACAGAUUGUCCAUAACAAACACCAUGUUCAAGCAUAAGGGUGUCCAUAUGUGCACUUGGCACCAGGACACCCUAGGCCGCAGUUCGAUGAUCGACUUCGUAGUCGUGUCAUCGGACUUGCGGCCGCAUGUCUUGGACACUCGGGUAAAGAGAGGGGCGGAGCUGUCAACUGAUCACCACCUGGUGGUGAGUUGGCUCCGAUGGCGGGGGAGGAUGCCGGUUAGACCUGGCAGACCCAAACGUAUAGUGAGGGUCUGCUGGGAACGCCUGGCAGAGUCUCCCGUCAGAAGGAGCUUCAACUCCCACCUCCGGGAAAACUUCAACCAUGUCUCGGAGGAGGCGGGGGACAUUGAGUCCGAGUGGGCCAUGUUCCGUGCCUCUGUUGCUGAGGCGGCUGAUCGGUGCUGUGGCCGCAAGGUAGUCGGUGCCUGUCGUGGCGGCAAUACCCGAACCCGUUGGUGGACACCGGGGGUGAGGGAUGCCGUCAAGCUGAAGAAGGAGUCCUACCGGGCCUUUUUGGCCUGUGGGACUCCGGAGGCAGCAGACAGGUACCGACGGGCCAAGCGGAGCGCAGCCACGGCGGUCGCCGAGGCAAAAGCCCGGACAUGGGAGGAGUUUGGUGAGGCCAUGGAGAACGACUUCCGGACGGCUUCGAAGAGAUUCUGGACCACUAUCCGGCGUCUCAGGAGGGGGAAGCAGUGCACCGUCAACACUAUGUAUGGUGCGGAUGGUGCGCUGCUGACCUCGACUCGAGACGUUGUGGAUCGGUGGGGGGAAUACUUCGAAGACCUCCUCAAUCCCACCGACACGCCUUCCAAUCAGGAAGCAGGGCCCAGGGACCCGAGAGUGGGCUCUCCUAUCUCUGGGGCUGAGGUUGCCGAGGUGGUUAAAAAGCUCCUCGGUGGCAAGGCUCCGGGGGUGGAUGAGAUCCGCCCGGAGUUCCUCAAGGCCCUGGAUGUUGUGGGGCUGUCAUGGCUGACACGACUCUGCAACAUCGCGUGGACAUCGGGGGCAGUGCCUCUGGAUUGGCAGACUGGGGUGGUGGUCCCCCUUUUUAAGAAGGGGGACCGGAGGGUGUGUUCCAAUUAUAGAGGGAUCACACUCCUCAGCCUCCCCGGUAAGGUCUAUUCAGGGGUACUGGAGAGGAGGGUCCGCCGGAUAGUUGAACCUCGGAUUCAGGAGGAGCAAUGUGGUUUUCGUCCUGGCCGUGGAACUGUGGAC